rnacentral:rRNA from 1 species
UACGAAGGGGGCUAGCGUUGCUCGGAAUGACUGGGCGUAAAGGGCGCGUAGGCGGCUUGCACAGUCAGAUGUGAAAUUCCUGGGCUUAACCUGGGGGCUGCAUUUGAUACGUGUGGGCUUGAGUGCGGAAGAGGGUCGUGGAAUUCCCAGUGUAGAGGUGAAAUUCGUAGAUAUUGGGAAGAACACCGGUGGCGAAGGCGGCGACCUGGUCCGUGACUGACGCUGAGGCGCGAAAGCGUGGGGAGCAAACGGG